rnacentral:lncRNA from 1 species
AUUUCUUACAGCCAUUCAGCAACAGAUGAUGGCAGCUAUGAUACAAUUGGCCCAAUGUUUGCACAACAAACCGAAGGGGGAAGAUUACUUGAAGGCUGCCAGUGAUAUUAUGGUGGCUAAAUUCUCCCUCUAACGAUUUUUCACGAGGAAUCAAGUGACUGGAUUGAGCUACUAUCAACAAACCUGACUGAAUAAUAAACUUAGUAGAGCAGGUAUAAUGGUGCAGAUUAGGUGGGAUUUGUAUGACAGAUUUAAGUUGAGCAGCCAGUCCCUGUGUCAGGACAUGAAACUAAAUCAAUAGAAGCAGUGAGGGUGACUGCAUGGCUUUUCACUGUUCUCGAGGAGCACAGUAAUAAGGUAUAAUGUUCUAACUAGGUCACAUUAGAUCAAGUCAUGUUGCAACACAGUAUCUGAGUGGAUCUGUCUGGUCAUACAUGUUAUAUAAAUUAAUCACAAAAAAACAAUGUCAUGUUUCAACAGAGAAAACACGGUGUGUGAGGCACUUAAUGCAAGUACUAAAUAAAAUAUACACCCAUUUGCCACAUUAUUAGGUACACGAGUAGAGAUUAUGGCCUGAUAGAAGACUAGAGACCAUACUGUAGCUAUGCCUGAUAAAGUGGCCAGUGACAGUAAGUCUACGUAGGAACUUCUUUAGAUGCAGUAUGCUCCAAUGAUUAUGCAAAUCCUUUAAGAUACUCAUAAAUAAUCAUCCCAGUAUGUGUUUCUCAGGCAAUGAAAUUAAGGAUAUGUGUGCUCAGACAUUUAACCCUGUUACAAUGAAGACAAGUUAUGGUGCCAGUGCCUCUUCCUGUCUGUCAGCUGAGCGGCCUUUCUGUCAAAUCCCUCCCAGCAUCAGCAGCACAGAGAGCGAGGAUGGGCCGGGCUGGGCCGGGUCGAUCAGAGAGGAUCAGGACGAGGGGGGCUUAUACAACCACCGACUGUGUCAAGAGUUUCUACCUUGUGUAUUGGGAAGGUGCCUUUGGUGUCCUGCACGUAAUAUCCAAAAGGCAUUAGCUCAGUGUGGUCAUCAGGUCCGGUGCCGAUCCCACAGUCUACAUGAGAUGAAAGCAAAAGACACAGUCACUGACACUCAGAAGACAAGGUCAAUAGACUGUUUGUUCUGCAUAAACUGCUGAUGAAACUUGAUCUCAUCCUCUUUAUAGUUUCAAAUAUCAAUGAAAACAUUAAUUGUAAGCUAAUAGUGCAGUGAUGAUAAUUCAUUUUUUUAUGAAACACAGCCAUUAAACAUACA